rnacentral:rRNA from 1 species
GACGGAGGGGGCAAGCGUUGUUCGGAAUCAUUGGGCGUAAAGGGCUCGUAGGCGGACUAGUAAGUCUGGCGUGAAAUCUCCCACCGCUCACCGGGGGAGAGGUCGCUGGAUACUGCUAGUCUUGAGUUCGGUAGAGGGUCGUGGAAUUUCGGGUGUAGCGGUGGAAUGCGUAGAUAUCCGAAAGAACACCGGUGGCGAAGGCGGCGACCUGGGCCUGAACUGGACGCUGAGGCGCGAAAGCGUGGGGAGCAA